rnacentral:rRNA from 1 species
GACUCAGUGAAAUUGAACUCGCUGUGAAGAUGCAGUGUACCCGCGGCAAGACGGAAAGACCCCGUGAACCUUUACUAUAGCUUGACACUGAACAUUGAGCCUUGAUGUGUAGGAUAGGUGGGAGGCUUGGAAGUGUGGACGCCAGUCUGCAUGGAGCCGACCUUGAAAUACCACCCUUUAAUGUUUGAUGUUCUAACGUUGACCCGUAAUCCGGGUUGCGGACAGUGUCUGGUGGGUAGUUUGACUGGGGCGGUCUCCUCCUAAAGAGUAACGGAGGAGCACGAAGGUUGGCUAAUCCUGGUCGGACAUCAGGAGGUUAGUGCAAUGGCAUAAGCCAGCUUGACUGCGAGCGUGACGGCGCGAGCAGGUGCGAAAGCAGGUCAUAGUGAUCCGGUGGUUCUGAAUGGAAGGGCCAUCGCUCAACGGAUAAAAGGUACUCCGGGGAUAACAGGCUGAUACCGCCCAAGAGUUCAUAUCGACGGCGGUGUUUGGCACCUCGAUGUCGGCUCAUCACAUCCUGGGGCUGAAGUAGGUCCCAAGGGUAUGGCUGUUCGCCAUUUAAAGUGGUACGCGAGCUGGGUUUAGAACGUCGUGAGACAGUUCGGUCCCUAUCUGCCGUGGGCGCUGGAGAACUGAGGGGGGCUGCUCCUAGUACGAGAGGACCGGAGUGGACGCAUCACUGGUGUUCGGGUUGUCAUGCCAAUGGCACUGCCCGGUAGCUAAAUGCGGAAGAGAUAAGUGCUGAAAGCAUCUAAGCACGAAACUUGCCCCGAGAUGAGUUCUCCCUGACUCCUUGAGAGUCCUGAAGGAACGUUGAAGACGACGACGUUGAUAGGCCGGGUGUGUAAGCGCAGCGAUGCGUUGAGCUAACCGGUACUAAUGAACCGUGAGGCUUAACCUUACAACGCCGAAGGUGUUU